GGCGGGCCUCCCCGCAUUGCAUAGUGGUGAACCUGGUCAGAUCCGGAAGGAAGCAGCCACAGCUAUUCUCUGUAAGUGCCGGGGGUUAGGCUCGCCACC
rnacentral:SRP_RNA from 1 species